AUUGAACGCUGGCGGCAGGCUUAACACAUGCAAGUCGAACGAGUGGCGGACGGGUGAGUAAUGCUUGGGAAUCUAGCUAAUGGAGGGCGAUAACUACGGGCAACUGUAGCUAAUACCGCGUACCAUAGGAUGAGCCCUAGUGGGAUUAGGUAGUUGGUGAUGUAAAGGCUCAACAAGACGACGCUCUCUAGCUGGUCUGAGAGGAUGACCAGGCACAGUGGGACUGGGACACGGCCAAUAAUCCUAAGGGAGGCAGCAGUGGGGAAUAUUGCGCAAUGGGGACAACCUGACGCAGCCAUGCCGCGUGAAUGAAGAAGGCCUUCGGGUUGUAAAGUUCUUUCGGUAGCGAGGCGUUAACUACAGAAGAAGCACCGGCUAACUCCGUGCCAGCAGCCGCGGUAAUAC
rnacentral:rRNA from 1 species